GCCGUCUGGUGCUUCAUCCGAGGCCUCAGAGGGUGGAGGAUCGCCAUGUACCUGCACACAGAAACCCAAGAUAGUAAAGUAUUUACAGGCUCCACAGUAAUCAGAUUACUUCUAACAGUAGGGUAUUGUCUCUGAACUCAGGGAAACUAGAGUUCUUUCAUUCCUGCUUCUUUGGUUCCUUGAGGAUUGUAAAAAGGCAACACAUUUUUAACUGCUAUUCUACAAGUUUUUCCUGUUUUGUUAAAAUAUGGAUAAGAACUAAAACCACAGAAAAAUGUUUAAUUUACAUGUCAGCUGUAAACAAACUAAUCUUAUUGGUUCUUGUAUCUGCAUUGAUCUUUGACAAUGUCUGAUUAUAAUAUUACACAGUUUUUGCUGUAGUUAAAUCAGUAAAAAGGGCAACGUUUACCCAGAAUGCACUUUUAAACUGUUCACACCAUGAUAUGCAUCCCAUAAUACUGAUGGUCACAGCUGGUUAUCGAUACAAUGAUCAGAAACCAGAUCCAGUGUUCAGACUGAGACCAAUGGAUGGAUUUAAACUGAUCAGGUGUCAGUUUUUACCAGAACUCAGAUGUGUUUCUCCUCCUAAAUGUCAUGGUUCUAUCUGCUGAACUGAUGAAGUUCUGAGGCUCAGAAAUGAUGGAAAAAGUCCAUUAAGAAGUGAUAAAUGUGGACCCACCUCUAUGGACUUCAAGGACCUGGAAAUAUUCAGAGUCUGAAGGUAGAACUCUGAUCAUUGAUAAAGUUCAUUCAUUCAUUUUAUUGUUUAUUUCAUUCACCAAAAACAAUUACAACAUAAAUACAUAUGCAACAAAAAAUAUCUGAAUGAAAGUUACUGGAGAUCCAGAACCAGAUGAUUCUGAGGAGGUUCUGGUUGGUUGAUCUUCCAUUGAUUUUUUUUCUUGUGACCUAUUUUAGACCAAAUCAUGUUUCAAGCAUUCAAAGACCAAAGGCACCUUGAAGGAUGGAAGCUGCAGGUGAACCCACCUGUCCACGGCGAUGGCCAGCAGAGAGUUGGUGGACACGUAGAGCGACACGGUGCGAAGGUAGUUGGUGGCAGCGCAGAGCAGCAGGCCGUGGUCCCAGGACAGCUGCUUCACCACGUAGUAGUCGAGCAGGAAGGGGCAGCACACCGCCGCCACCAGCACGUCAGACACCGCCAGGUUGGCGAUCAGCAGGUUGGUCAGGUUCCUCAGCUGCUUGUAGCGGGCCAGGCUGGCGAUGAACACGCAGUUCCCGACGCCGCACACCAGCAUGAUGACCACCAGGACCACGGCGAUGACGAUGGUGGCCCCGAAGAAGGCCGGGCCCUGCGUGGUGUCUGGGACCUCCUCCACGGGAACCUCGUAGUCCAGGAAGCUGCUGUUGAUCAGGUCGGCCAUCCUGGAUCACGGCAACAUGCUCGGAUCGUCGUGUCUGCAGGGAAACGCGUCACCAGAGGAAGCAGCAGAUAAACCAGGUCUUACCUGGACUGCAGGUGAGUGGACAGGUGGAGCUGAACCCUGCAAGAAACAAAACGAUGAUCAGAGAACAGAUGAAGUCUACCUUUACCUGAGAGACUACAGGAACAGCUGAUGAAGAUCAGCCCAGGACAACUGUACAGCUGUUGGUAGGUCUACUCUAGAACUUUCUCCAGCUGUCGGUAGGUCUACUCUAGAACUUUCUCCAGUUGUCGGUAGGUCUACUCUAGAACUUUCUCCAGCUGUCGGUAGGUCUACUCUAGAACUUUCUCCAGUUGUCGGUAGGUCUACUCUAGAACUUUCUCCAGUUGUCGGUAGGUCUACUCCAGAACUUUCUCCAGCUGUCGGUAGGUCUACUCCAGAACUUUCUCCAGCUGUCGGUAGGUCUACUCUAGAACUUUCUCCAGCUGUCGGUAGGUCUACUCUCGAACUUUCUCCAGCUGUCGGUAGGUCUACUCUAGAACUUUCUCCAGCUGUCGGUAGGUCUACUCUAGAACUUUCUCCAGCUGUCGGUAGGUCUACUCUAGAACUUUCUCCAGCUGUCGGUAGGUCUACUCUAGAACUUUCUCCAGCUGUCGGUAGGUCUACUCUAGAACUUUCUCCAGCUGUCGGUAGGUCUACUCUAGAACUUUCUCCAGCUGUUGGUAGGUCUACUCUAGAACUUUCUCCAGGGGAUGUUCUCCUCUAUGGACUUCAAGGACCUGGAACUCUGGAAAUAUUCCCAGUAUGAAGGUGGAACUCUGAUCAUUGAUAAAGUCACUGUAGAUGAAGAACCAGAUGUUCUGAUGAAGUUCUGGGGGUAACUCUGUUCUGAUCUGGUUGGUUUAAUGUAAAACAACCUCGUUCCAAAGUCAGAAAACGGCUUUAGAGUUCAGAUUUUUGGCUCCGUUUGGUCGUCUGUAAGAUUUUAUGUGAUGCUGGACGUCUGUAAACUGAA